ACACACACACACACACACACACACACACACACACACACACACACACACACACACACACACACACCUAAUGCAAGCAGACACACAAUCCGCAUAAUACUUAGCACUUACUUGUUCUCUAAAUAUGUAGCUUUGUGUUUAUCUUGAUGAAUAAAUGACAUGUCACUGAGUAUCAAGAAAGACUAUUUUCUCUAAUGAUUAACUGAAUAUUCUUUAGAGAUUUUAAUUAUCUUUGUUAUUCUAUAUUGAGGUUUUGUUCUGUUUGUUGUAGCUCUUCAUGUUCUUCGUCUAUCAGUAGGAAUAAUAGUGACACAUCAAAUGAUCACGUGAUGUUUGUAACGCUACAGAUGAGAACAACCGUCCCAUAGUGUGAAGACUGAAUAUUUAAUUCUAGAUACUUUUAUUUGUUUAAGAGAUGUUUUGUAUUAUGAAAUAUAGAGUAGAAUGUAAAUAGUAAACAAUGAUAUAGAAUACUCUAAAAUA